rnacentral:lncRNA from 1 species
GGAUAAACCCACAAGGGAGGUGAAUUUAAGCAAGGGCCAAGUCUUUACAAACAAGAACUUGGCUUGCAGCGGCGAUCGAGUACAGAGCUCCUGCUCGCCUUGCCAAAACGUUUCCUGCAAGGAGAGCCCAACUCCAGAUGGCAGGUAUCCUGACAAGCAGCUCGGUCUGAAGCUUCUGCCCAACCUGCCCUUGCCAGACCCGACCGCAGCUCAUCGAGGAGGUACCCUCUAAAGUCGUCACCUUGAGGAGACAAGCUCUGUCAUAGUGCUCGCAGCCCCGCGGCCCCUGCGCCAGGUUGCGGACGCCAUCUUCCCGCGCCGUCGCCGCCAUCUCCUCCUCCUCCUCCUCCACCACCUCCCCCUCACCAGCCACUGAACCUUUCCCCCAGCUUGGAAGCCACGCCUUAAGGAAGCAGAGUCGGUCGGACACCCGCUCCUCCUCGGAGCAGCGGCCACCAGAGUCAGGAAGGGGGGGUCCAAUCACGUGAUCUGCAGCAUCCGGAUUUCCGGUCCCUGGUGUAAGGGGUGGAAGCCAAGUGAGACGCUUAGUCCGUCGUCCACGUUAGUCGCUGUCGUCACUGCUAAUGGUAGACUUAAGAACGCAAAGUGAAAAACAAGUAGCCACGCCACGCCCCCGUGGAACUCACAAAUGGGGAGGGGGAGAACGCCACGGCAUUAGAUGAGGUCACAACUUCCACACUGGAAGGACAGUCCUGUGUGGUGUCCCUGGGGAAGGAGACGCUCGAGCUGAAAGUUGAAUGGCAAACAGUACGCCAGCAGGAGUUAGUGUGUACCAGACCUGUGGGAGAGAAAAAUCUGGCCCGUAAGAACAUGAGAGAAAUAAAGAAGCCUGCAGAGUUUGAAUCUCAGACCUCAAGUUGUGUUAGGAGUUGCUAAAAACAUGGUGAAAGGUUGCUCGGCCAUUGGAUGUGCCUCUCGCUGUUUACCAAAUUCCAAGUUAAAAGGACUGACAUUUCAUGUAUUCCCCACAGAUGAAAACAUCAAAAGAAAGUGGGUAUUAGCCAUGAAAAGACUAGAUGUGAAUACUGCAAGCAUUUGGAAGCCUAAAAAAAGGAGAUGUGCUGUGUUCAAGACACUUCAAGAAGACAGACUUUGACAGAAGCACUCUAAACACUAAGCUGAAGGCAGGAGCCAUCCCUUCUAUCUUUGAAUGUCCAUAUCACUUACAGGAGAAAAGAGAAAAACUUCACUGUAGAAAAAACUUCCUUCUCAAAACCCUUCCCAUCACCCACCAUGGCCGCCAGCUUGUUGGUGCCUCCUGCAUUGAAGAAUUCGAACCCCAGUUCAUUUUUGUAAGUAAAAGUAUUUACUGAGCU